rnacentral:misc_RNA from 1 species
CCGAGUUUACAACUCCCAAACCCAUGUGAACAUACCUCAAUGUUGCUUCGGCGGACUCCCGCGCCCUCCGACCUCCCCCCGGGUAAUCGGGAGCCUAGCCGGACCCAGCCCCCGAGGUACCCCUAAACUCUUGUCUUCUAUAUAAUUCUUCUGAGUGCAAACCAUAAAUAAAUCA